CCGCCCGCCGCUCGCCGCAGCCCGGCCCGCCUCUGCCGUGGCUGCCCCGCGGGCGAGGGCAGCCCGCCCCGCGGGCAGGAGACCCCCAGGGGCACGGGGCUGGCGCCGGCGCCGGGCUGCUCUCCGCCAGGCCGCCGCAGGCCCCCUCGGCCUCGGUGGGUUUGGCGCUGCGCGGGCAGAGGCAACCCCGGACGGCGGGAAAACGACACCGCUGCCCCCCGACAAGACCUAGUAAUGAGCUUUUCUAACGUUCAUACGGUUUCAACGGCCCUUUAAGGAGAGAGGAGUUCCCGCCUGCACUGAAAGAAUAGCUCAACAUCUGUCAUCCCAUUCUCUACCAUGGCCCAAAAUCAGGAAGACUACAGCUGUCCUGUUCCUUUCAGAUACUUCUGGGAUAGAGAGGAAUCUUCUGGAUGCAAAUGUUUCCCACCAGUUCCCUCAGUCUGGAGUACAGAAUUGCUGGCUAUUGAGACCGCAUGUCUGUAUAUAGAUCACUACAAGCCAGCAGAGCGGAGGAGGAUCCCUGCACCUCCCUUCUAUCCUAACCACAAAGAGAGAAAGAAGCUCCCAUUCAGCUUCACGCUACCACCAGUGGCUGGCUGCUCUGGCUACUCAGCCCAGCUUAUCUACAGAUAACACAGAAAGGAAGGAUGGGGUAAAGGGUCAGUGUAAACUGUCACUUGCCUCCCUAUGAUCAGUAGACAAUUUCUUUACAGGAAGGUCUUAGGAAGGAUUUGGAAGAAGAUUGGGCAAAAUAAAUUAGGGAUUUUGAUAACCUCAUCCAAAACAAUUGGAAAACGUAGGCAAAAUCAAACAUCACAAAAUCUAUCCCCAAAGAAGCCUUAUCUCUGUUACAAGAAACAUGUUGUCAUAGCCUUACAGCUAUUGCAUCCAGCACUUAUAGUAGGUCCUUAGAUUUGUCAUGGGAUAUAGAAUGUAUUUUCAAUUAAAAAAAGGAAGUGAAAAAGCCCUUUCUUUUUUAAAAAUAGCUUAUUCAGAUGACAGACAGCUUAACUGUGAGUUUAUUCCCUUUAUUAAACUGAAGUUUACAAGAAUCAUGCUGAAAUAAACCUUCCAAGGUUUCUUGCUCUGUGUGUGCUCUUUUGGCUCAAUUCCUCUCCAUCUUGGUUUGUCAAAUAUGGUAUAGGCUAGGGACCAGGAAGCUUACUUUGUUCAAUAUAAAGGAAAUCUAACAGCAUUAAUCUGCCCUAGUUUUCUAGCCAACAGUGUGUUCUCAUGGUACCAAGGAAAUGUUUUCCAACUUAACAUCAGGUGAUUGAACUUCGCAGUAUCUGUUAAAUCAGCCUUCAAGCUUCAUGCUGUUCUUUUUUAAAUAAAAACGUCUACAUAUUUAUUCCUGGCUUUACUGUACUGUGAAGAGCUGUUAAAUUUCCAAUAAAAUGUUUAUUUAAUAAUAAUUAAAAGAAACUCA